rnacentral:rRNA from 1 species
CGUAGGGGGCUAGCGUUGUCCGGAAUCAUUGGGCGUAAAGAGCGUGUAGGCGGCCCGGUAAGUCCGCUGUGAAAGUCGGGGGCUCAACCCUCGAAUGCCGGUGGAUACUGUCGGGCUAGAGUGCGGAAGAGGCGAGUGGAAUUCCUGGUGUAGCGGUGAAAUGCGCAGAUAUCAGGAGGAACACCGAUUGCGAAGGCAGCUCGCUGGGACGUUACUGACGCUGAGACGCGAAAGCGUGGGGAGCAAACAGGAUUAGAUACCCUGGUAGUCCACGCUGUAAACGAUGGGCACUAGGUGUGGGGGGUGUCGACUCCCUCCGUGCCGAAGCUAACGCAUUAAGUGCCCCGCCUGGGGAGUACGGCCGCAAGGCUA